AAAUGAAUUGACGGGGACCCGCACAAGCGGUGGAGCAUGUGGUUUAAUUCGAUGCAACGCGAAGAACCUUACCUGGUCUUGACAUCUGUAGAACUUUCCAGAGAUGGAUUGGUGCCUUCGGGAACUACAAGACAGGUGCUGCAUGGCUGUCGUCAGCUCGUGUCGUGAGAUGUUGGGUUAAGUCCCGCAACGAGCGCAACCCUUGUCCUUAUUUGCCAGCACGUAAUGGUGGGAACUCUAAGGAGACUGCCGGUGAUAAACCGGAGGAAGGUAGGGACGACGUCAAGUCAUCAUGGCCCUUAUGACCAGGGCUACACACGUGCUACAAUGGUCGGUACAAUGGGCAGCCAAACUGCGAAGUGGAGCUAAUCUCAUAAAGCCGAUCUCAGUCCGGAUCGUAGUCUGCAACUCGACUACGUGAAGUCGGAAUCGCUAGUAAUCGUGGAUCAGAAUGCCGCGGUGAAUACGUUCCCGGGUCUUGUACACACCGCCCGU
rnacentral:rRNA from 1 species